AUGGCGAGCGAAACUUCUGCCACAUCACGUGUUUGCGGCGGUUCAGGCAAGGACGUUCUUGGCGGCGGUUCAAAGGAUGUGUCGGGGGCAGGGAAGAAGGUCAGCGAGGCUAGCUUCUCUGGCGGGGUAGAUCCCUCUUCCCAGGCUGGGGAUCUGGGUGAAAAGCUCAAAUUUCUGAACCUGCGUGAAGAUGAGGAAGAAGAUGUCGUUCUUGAGGAGGAUUUAGAGGAGUUGGAGAAAGACGCGGAGUUCAUGGCCUUGGCAAGGAUCCACACUACACGUACUUUCAGCCAUGGCGCAUUUUUUGGUGCUAUGCGUUCUACCUGGAAUCUUGCACAGGAGGUUGAAUUUAGGGCCACUAGUGCAGAACCGGCCUUUAGCGCCGGUUCGUGA
rnacentral:rRNA from 1 species